UGAGGAAUAUUGGUCAAUGGGCGAGAGCCUGAACCAGCCAAGUAGCGUGCAGGAUGACGGCCCUAUGGGUUGUAAACUGCUUUUAUGUGGGGAUAAAGUGCGUGACGUGUCAUUCAUUGCAGGUACCACAUGAAUAAGGACCGGCUAAUUCCGUGCCAGCAGCCGCGGUAAUACGGAAGGUCCGGGCGUUAUCCGGAUUUAUUGGGUUUAAAGGGAGCGUAGGCUGUCUAUUAAGCGUGUUGUGAAAUAUACCGGCUCAACCGGUGGCUUGCAGCGCGAACUGGUCGACUUGAGUAUGCAGGAAGUAGGCGGAAUUCAUGGUGUAGCGGUGAAAUGCUUAGAUAUCAUGACGAACUCCGAUUGCGCAGGCAGCUUACUGUAGCAUAACUGACGCUGAUGCUCGAAAGUGCGGGUAUCAAACAGG
rnacentral:rRNA from 1 species